CCUACGGGUGGCAGCAGUGGGGAAUAUUGCACAAUGGGCGCAAGCCUGAUGCAGCGACGCCGCGUGCGGGAUGGAGGCCUUCGGGUUGUAAACCGCUUUUGUUCAAGGGCAAGGCACGGUCUUCGGCCGUGUUGAGUGGCUUGUUCGAAUGAGCACCGGCUAACUACGUGCCAGCAGCCGCGGUAAUACGUAGGGUGCAAGCGUUAUCCGGAUUUAGUGGGCGUAAAGGGCACGUAGGCGGUUUGUCACGUCCGGUGUGAAAGUCCAUAGCUUAAAGGUGGAUCCGCGCCGGGUACGGGCGGGCUUGAGUGCGGUAGGGGAGACUGGAAUUCCCGGGGUAGCGGUGGAAUGUGUAGAUAUCGGGAAGAACACCAGUGGCGAAGGCAGGUCUCUGGGCCGUUACUGACGCUGAGGAGCGAAAGCGUGGGGAGCGAACAGGAUUAGAUACCCGGGUAGUC
rnacentral:rRNA from 1 species